rnacentral:rRNA from 1 species
AGUAACACGUGAGGAACCUACCUUCAAGUGGGGAAUAACUGCCAGAAAUGGCAGCUAAUACCGCAUGUGGCUACCUAUGGGCAUCCAUGGGUAACUAAAGUUUUAUCGCUUGGAGACGGCCUCGCGGCCUAUUAGCUUGUUGGUGGGGUAAUGGCCUACCAAGGCGAUGAUGGGUAGCUGGUCUGAGAGGAUGGCCAGCCACAUUGGGACUGAGAAACGGCCCAG